UACAGAGACUGCAAGCGUUAUUCGGAUUCACUGGGCGUAAAGGGUGCGCAGGCGGUCGGGUGUGUCAGAUGUGAAAUCCCGAGGCUCAACCUCGGAACUGCGUCUGAAACUACUCGACUAGAGUACUGGAGAGGGUAACGGAAUUCACGGUGUAGCAGUGAAAUGCGUAGAUAUCGUGAGGAACACCAGAGGCGAAGGCGGCUUCCUGGAUCACCCCUGACGCUGAGACGCGAAAGCGUGGGGAGCGAACGGG
rnacentral:rRNA from 1 species